GGUAGGUCUUCGGUUUGCUGUCUCCCCAUCCUCUUGUUCACACUACUUUUACUUUAGUAAUGAGUAUUAAUAUAAGAAAGAAGCUAUGCACAUGACAAAUGCAUGUUGUGCUGUUUCAGUGUGUUGCAAAGUGCCACUCUACUAGUCAUGUGUGAUCCACAUGAAGAAAGAUAAUGAGUUACGUUUUAACUGUUACAUCUCUGGCUUUUUGCAUGCUAUGAGCAUGAUAUAUGUAUAUAAAUAGCUUAAUGGUGAACAUAUAUAAAUACUCGAUAUAAUAUAUAUGAGUAGUUCUGGUACGAGCAUGUCUAGAUGUGUUUUUGAGAUGUUGGAGGAACACAAAGGGAGAGAAUCGAUUCAGUUAUAUCAUGAUCAAAAUGACACGUUAGAAUAUCUAUUAGUAUAAUGUUUUAUCUAAAUACGAGGUGAUCUUCUGUCUUUAUUGGUAUUGUCAUGACAUCAUUUAUUGACUACAAUGAUCUACAAAACUGUUUUUUUGCUGAAAGUGUUGUGGGUCUAAUGUUUGUUUUUGUUAGAUGUAUAUAGAUAGGACUCUACUGCUUUUUUGCUAUUUCUCUAUUGUAUAUAGAUAGGAUUGUAUGUUAUACCAGGGUAUAUCUACUGGUAUUAUGACCUCAUAUUGUAAUACAAAUGCUAUUUC
rnacentral:lncRNA from 7 species